UACGAAGGGGGCUAGCGUUGCUCGGAAUCACUGGGCGUAAAGCGCACGUAGGCGGCUUUCUAAGUCAGGGGUGAAAUCCUGGAGCUCAACUCCAGAACUGCCCUUGAUACUGGAAAGCUUGAGUUCGGGAGAGGUGAGUGGAACUGCGAGUGUAGAGGUGAAAUUCGUAGAUAUUCGCAAGAACACCAGUGGCGAAGGCGGCUCACUGGCACGAUACUGACGCUGAGGUGCGAAAGCGUGGGGAGCAAACAGG
rnacentral:rRNA from 1 species